rnacentral:misc_RNA from 1 species
AAGCAUAAAGAUAUCCAAAUUCUGUAUAUUUAACUCCACUAGAGUGCAUUCAUGAACACCAAACAAACAUAAUUCCAAUAUAUCUGAAAGAAGUAGUUCAAGUUUACGCCUAGUCGGUCAUAAUGCAAGUUAGUAGUUAGCCAGUUAGUUAGGCCUGAUAACUAAUAGAGAGACAGUUUAUAGAACCCAUACCUUAGAAUUGACCCGGCCAACGGCCAGUUCCGGCCUAGAACUGGUGGUUCCUCAGCCCUUGAGGGGUCGAACUGAAAUCAGCUUAGAUUUUGCGGAUUUGAACUGGUUUCAAUGGCUAAUUAUUAAAUACACUGGAACACUAAAAAAUUGUGCUUCCUCUCUUUUAGAAAAGUGAGUCAUCCUUAUAACGUGGAGAGUAAUAAUUUCUCAAUUUCAGUUUGGUCAGAUUAUAAUUCAGUUAUGGUUUGAUUUUGAAACCAUUUCGAUUCCAGUUUUUUGACAGUUAUAGUUUCAACUGGUUUUUGAUUUAUCAUAAUUCAAGUUAUUAUGAAUUUUGUAUCAACACUCUUGAAAAAUUUAAAUUCAAUAAAAUUACAUAUAAAAAAAUAUUUUUAUUGAUA